rnacentral:rRNA from 1 species
UACGUAGGGAGCAAGCGUUGUCCGGAAUCAUUGGGCGUAAAGCGCGCGUAGGUGGCUUCAUAAGUCCGUUGUGAAAGUCAAAGGCUCAACCUUUGAAAGCCGAUGGAUACUGUGAAGCUAGAGUACGGAAGAGGCGAGUGGAAUUCCUGGUGUAGCGGUGAAAUGCGUAGAUAUCAGGAGGAACACCGGUGGCGAAGGCGGCUCUCUGGACGGUGACUGACGCUGAGACGCGAAAAGCGUGGGGGAGCAAACAGG